ACCUGGGUGGCUCAGUUGGCUGAGUACCUGACUUCAGCUCAGGUCAUGAUCUCACAGUCGUGGGUUCGAGCCCCGCGCCAGACU
rnacentral:tRNA from 1 species